CCUGUCUCUUUUUGCCUCUUUCAUUUUGUAGUCGCAUUUCUCAGAAGGCAAGCUAUCAAUUCUCUUCAUUACAGAAGGGUUUCUCAAUCAAAAUGUCUUCUUUUCUUUAAACUUUAAUUCAAUUUAUAUUCAAGUGGAUCUACAGAGAAAACGGUUCAAUACAUUUCAAAGAACAGCUUCAUAGGCAUCUAAAAGAAGUUCAGAGGAUUGAAACAUAAGAAUUAGUAAAGCUUAAAUCGGUGUUCAUUUUCAUGUAUGAUGGAGUUGAACAAUGAGAUUCAGCCAAAGGAGAAAGGGGAACCACUCCAAUCUGAUUCAGAAGGUGUGGAUAUUCUCUCUGUUUCCACAAAGUCACCAAGGUCCUCCAAAGCUCAUCAUGGAAAGCAUAGCCCUAGAAAGGGGAGUCCAAGCAAACAUGAUAGGCAUUCACAUUCUGGAAGAGAUGGACGUCCGAAAAAAGGUGGCUCUGGUGGAAAAGGAACAUGGGGUGGGUUACUUGAUGCAGAAGAUGCUUAAUCCUUCCUCCAUGGAGCUUCCUUAUACGUGGAGGACCAUAUAAAGAUUGAUCAAAUACAAUUUCCUGUAUAGAGAUUCAUCUUUGUCUCUCAUCCAUUAUUUUAAUAACUUAAUUGGCAUUGCUGGUCAAACAUCCACCUUUGCAGCUCCUUGUUUCUCAGUUUGCCCUUCACUGUGUAGUGAAAAUUGGCUCAUUAAUUUCCUUUUUUUUUUUUUUUUUUUUUUUUCUUGUGGGAGGAACUGGACUCCUUACCUGAGAGAGUAAAUGUCAACUUGAACUUCUGUAUCAAUCCAAAUAUUACAUACACUGGAAAAUUGUGUGAUUGGAUGACA